UCUUUGUGUGAUUUGACAUGCAAACUGAACCUAACCUCUUACAAGUACAGUAUGUGUUUAUUUGCCUAACUAAUGAUGCGUUUUAGAGAUUAUGUUAAGCAGAUCGUACAUAAAGAUAAACCUUCACUCCAGAGCCAAUCUGACUGACCCUGAGAUGAGAGACAAACUGCUGGAUGGGCUGGAAUCGGCGUUGAAGAUCCCUGAAGUGAGUCUGAGCUGGAUUCAAGCUCCGGUGGAAACCAUCAGUGAGGACGCAGAAGAAGGCCAAUGUCCGUGAAACUCUUUUUUUUUUUUUUUGAGCAAACAUCUUCAGUCCAGCAUGCACCCACCGAUCAACUAAUGCAAACCACUCCAUCUCUCUAGAUUAGAAGAUCUGUUUGGGUUAAAUGUUUGGGAAACUGUUUGAAACAUAUUUCAAAAUUCCAGUCAAAGCCACUUAUACAGCAGUUCCUGAUCAUAAUAUGAUGUAAAAUUAUUAAUUUAUGAUUUGUCAUAAGUUUCCUUGGGUGAAGUGGUAAUAAAAAAGAUUUAGAUAAUAAAAUGUUUAUUUAGUAUAUAUAAUUAUUAUGUAUUGCAUGUGAUUAUGAAUCAAUCUUGACGGUUAACGGUUAAUACGUCACCUUGUGACUAUAUAAUACAUCUCUAUGGUGACUCCCCAUCCCCGUGUCACCCCAGGACCCGAUUUGUUGUAUGCUGGUUUCAAAUUGAAAUAAUUUGUAGGCAUAAGGAUAGGUUUUGAGUGUGUUUCAGGCAUAAGGGUAGUUUUUAGCUGGGUUUCAUUGCAGUAUGUCAUAAAAAGAUGAAUAUAAGAAGUAAAUGAUAAAGAA